ensembl:lncRNA
CCGCCAGUAGCCCGGAUGUAGCGCACACGGGAGCGCACAGUGGCUCGCGGAUGAUAACAUGGCGCUCGCAGACACAUAACGGCGCCCACUCGGAUCAUAACAUCCACCGCAGCGGAGCCACAGCGAGCGGCGGGACAUGAAGAGAAUUCACCCGAGAGCACAUAGUACACUUUGCACAGCGUGUACAGUCUCCACAAUCAGUCAGCAAGUCUCGCUAAAUAUCUUAAAAGGUGAGACGAUGAGUCAAAGUUUUACAAAGUUUUACAGCUGGACUGGAAGUGAUCACAUGACACAACCCAUCUUUGCAUAAUGUUUCUUAUCCAACUAUCUAACAUUCUGCGAAACACAUGACGCCGUGGUAGCCACCUGUCAAUCACAGCGUAGCCCCGCCCCUGAGCGUAGCCUCCUUCAGGAUUUCGGCACAGUCUGCACAGCCACAGUUGUCCCUCCGUCCUGCACAUCGCUGCGCUCUCAUUGGGACAGAAGGAGCUUCCUUCAGGUGAUGCGGCUCCGCAGGUGUGAGACAAGCGGCGCGGAGGAGGAGGCAGUGGGACGUAAGCGUCAUGCACAGGGGAUGGAGGAGG